rnacentral:rRNA from 1 species
GUCCACGCCGUAAACGAUGUAUGCUCGGUAUUUGGGCCUGUUAAGGGCUUGGGUACCUAAGGUAACCCGGUAAGCAUACCGCCUGGGGAAGUACGAACGCAAGUUUAAAACUCAAAGGAAUUGACGGGGCCCCGCACAAGCAGCGGAGCGUGUGGUUUAAUUCGAUGCAACACGAAGAACCUUACCUGGGUUUGACAUGGACCUGCACGGCCGAGAGAUCGGUCAGCUUACGAAGGUGGUCCACAGAUGCUGCAUGGCUGUCGU